UUCACGUGUUCCUAGAGGCUAGGUCUCAAGUGUUUAAACACGAGCACUAGGCUCUAAAUGCCUUUUUUACGUGUUCCUAGAGGCUAGGUCUCGAGUGUUUAAACACGGGCACUAGGCUCUCAAUGCCUUUUUCACGUGUUCCUAGAGGCUAGGUCUCGAGUGUUUAAACACGGGCACUAGGCUCUCAAUGCCUUUUUCACGUGUUCCGUGUUUAAACACGGGCACUAGACUCUCAAUUCCCUUUUUGCGUUGUCCUAGUGGAUCGGCCCCAUGUGUUUAACCAACCAACCAAACCACCUACCUACCAACCAACCAACCAUUACAUGCUUGUUGUGGUCCCUUGUGUUUAAUACAGGUCCAAGAUCUCAUUUGUUUCGUGUUUGCUUGUUUCAAGCGACCUUAUCUCACGGGUGUAAUAAGUCAAUCAAUCAAUCAAUCAAUCAAUCAAUCAAUCAAUCAAUCAAUCAUGUUUCGGAGGGGAAAGACCGUUAACAAUUGUUUUUAAAACAAUUGAUUUAUAUUUAUUAUUAGGUCUUUCCACUUUUCUGUGGAAAGACCUAUUGGUUUUCUUCUGAUUAUUAGGUCUUUCCACUUUUCUGUGGAAAGACCUAUUGGUUUUCUUCUGAUUAUUAGGUCUUUCCACUUUUCUGUGGAAAGACCUAUUGUAUUUGUUCUGAUUAUUAUUAGGUCUUUCCACUUUUCUGUGGAAAGACCUAUUGUAUUUGUUCUGAUUAAUAGGUCUUUCCACUUUUCUGUGGAAAGACCUAUUGUAUUUGUUCUGAUUAUUAUUAGGUCUUUCCACUUUUCUGUGGAAAGACCUAUUGUAUUUGUUCUGAUUAUUAUUAUUAUUUUUUUUUUUUUUUCUUCCGCCAAAUUUUGUUCUUGCGAUAAUUGUUUGUUUCGUAAUAUGUUGCUUAGAUAUUUCUCAUAUUGUAUCGUAUAGUUAAUGCGCUUUUAAAUUUCACCCUGCUAAGCCGAACCAUUUUCUUUGUAAGAGUUAUCUCCCUAUUCACUGUUUAUCAUCUGUGUGCAUCUCCUUCGUAACAAAAAAAGAUAUCGACAAAAUUCUGUUUACAAAUUGUUCGUUACAUCCUCAGGAAUUUUUGGCUAAUUUGGAUCGAAGCGAUUCGAUGAAAUUUUAUAGGAGUUAUCUACCUUUAUCAAAUAAAUUUGUCGUUAUGUUUUUGUAACUCAUAAACUGUAAGCCGUAUAAACCUAUAGUCUUUUUAUUUAAGGUCCUUGGAUCCCAACUUCGAAAAUGAGGUCAAGGUCAAAGGUCAAGGUCAUGUUCUGAAUUUUGUCUUUUGCUUGUUUUUGCAUUUUCUCCGAUAUUUUUAAUGUUAUUUAUUAAAGAACAAGUGCAAAAUGUUUGUUAUAUUGUGAUGAAGAUAUGAUACAUUAGGUCUGAGACAAUCCAGCGACAUCUUAUUGGAGUUAUUGUCCCUGAAAUGUUUCAUUUUAAGGUAAAUUGAUUAUUACUUCAUAUUGGUACAUGAUAAAGCCAAAAGAUCUUUUGCAAAAUGUUGGGUGACAUAUGAUUUUGAAAAAUGUCAACCGGAAGUGACCUUGAGUGAACCGGAAGUAGUAAUUUUUGCACUUAUUUCAUGUAGAAUUACAUAGAAACCAUAUAUUUUUUGAAUGGUCAUACAUUAAUCUAUCAUUUGA